GGCAGUGUAGCACAGUGGCAGUGCGUCGCACUUGUAAUGCGAAGGUCCCAGGAUCAAUCCCUGGCUCUGUCA